ACAAGUCUUCACACAGAGAGGUGUUUUCAUUUCUUUGGGGUAAAUACUUGGAAGUGGAACAGCUGAGUUUUAUGGACAAACAGAAGGAGAUUGAGAGCCACAGGUGGGGCAUAACUUGCUCGUUUUGCUAGAAGAUACAUUGGAUUUUUAAACUAAAUGAGGUGUCUGGCUCCCUGUCCUGUGCCUGAGUAACACACGUGCCAAGCAGAUGAUAUCUAGGCCAUCAACAUCCUCUGCAGGUGGUGAGUCUGCACUUUAAUCUCUUAUUCUAUUGCCCAUUGUAUUGAAGUUAUGAACUGCUUCUACUUUUUGAGGCAAGCAGGCCAUAAAUGCUCACUAAAGGUUAAUCGGAAAGUUGAUAGAGUCAAAAAGUAGCAAUGGCUCAGUGAUAAUGAUUUUGCU